GUGAGGAAUAUUGCGCAAUGGAGGCAACUCUGACGCAGCCAUGCCGCGUGCAGGAAGAAGGCGCUACGUGUUGUAAACUGCUUUUAACCGGGAAGAAACCCCAGGACGUGUCCUGGGUUGACGGUACCGGAGGAAUAAGCACCGGCUAACUUCGUGCCAGCAGCCGCGGUAAUACGAAGGGUGCAAGCGUUAUCCGGAUUCAUUGGGUUUAAAGGGUGCGUAGGCGGAGCGUUAAGUCAGUGGUGAAAUCCUGCAGCUUAACUGUAGACUUGCCAUUGAUACUGGCGCUCUUGAGUGCGCUUGAAGUGGGCGGAAUGUGCCGUGUAGCGGUGAAAGGCUUAGAUAUGGCACAGAACACCAAUUGCGAAGGCAGCUCACUAAGGCGAUACUGACGCUGAGGCACGAAAGCGUGGGGAUCGAACAGGAUUAGAAACCCGAGUAGUCC
rnacentral:rRNA from 1 species